CAGGGGGUCAACUUUCAGGAGGAAGAACAUUGCAAAGAAACAAAAGGAAUUUGUUAGCAAUGUUUGACUGGAAAGACUAUGAUAGCUUUGAGCUGCAACACUUCUCUUUGAAGCAGCCAGUCUUGAUUCGCUGACAAUUCAUGCUCGAAACUACGCCUUUGCCUUGGACUGAUCCAUUUGCUGACAAGAGCUGCUUGAGAAAACAGUCAUUGGAAAGCUGUUGCAAUGGAUGGAAGAAGGGCUUCCAAAAGUCGCCACGUCGCGGUUACACAAGGGAGCUGUCCAUAAUCGGAGCCACCGAGAUGUAACUGAUGGAGAAAUGACGAGGAGCAUGGGAUUUGGGGAAGUCGGAUGUAGGAAGAUGGUGGUGAGCUGUGGCCGUUCCUUUGGUGAUGAUGUUCCAUCAUGGGGAAUCCAUGACUCGAACUCCCUGCCAGUAAGAUCGUUCAAGGAUUGGACACUCUGGAGGCAGGAAGCAUGUUCCCACUGAUGGUGCAGACAGACCGUCACAUACCAACAGAACAGAGCUCGGAAUCCAAGGUUACAGCGGGAGAGAAGGUGCACAGAGAUUGAGAGGUCCAGUCAGAGGUCUGAUCACAGCGGGGAAGAAGCUGCUGUUGAAUCUGUUGGAGUAAUUUCAGGAGGAGAUGACGAAAUGGCAGAGGAUAUGUGAAGCAGUACAACACAGGCCUGUCUUGUUCGUGCUUUAGCAGGCAGUGGAACAGUUCAGCACUGUCAGCUCCUUGCCUUCAGUCCCUGGCACAGGACCACACUUCGCGAAACAAUUGAUCCGAUUGAGAGCCUGACAUCAGCAUAAAAGCUCCCAUCGCGUCACUCCCCUGGCUUUUUGAUCCGUGAGCCCAAGCUCGGAGCGAUGUGAAAGUUUUAACCUUUGCCAGCGAGGCGUUGAUAUUCAAGAGGACCCGACGACUGAAGUGGUCUGCGACUGUAUGUUAAGUGGGUCGCAGUCAGCAAGACACCCACCUCCCUCGAAGACUGCAAAGGGUCCAAAACUGAAUCCGGACCCAAAGCUCGGGCUGCUGUCUUCAGUGGCACAGCCGCUUCACAGGAUGAGCGUGUCUCAGAGCAGUAUUUCCAAGCGAUGGGCGCUGGUUGCGACUUGCCUGCUUUGGGUCCUCGGCCCGUCGCUCUCGGUGGGAGCAAAGAGGUGGCCCAAUGAUCCCAAGUGUCCUCCGUCCUGCUCCUGCACCAAAGACAGCGCUUUUUGCGUGGCGUCGAAAUCCAUCCCACAAACGUUUGCAGGGAACCUGAU